UACGAGAGGUGCGAGCGUUAUUCGGAAUUAUUGGGCGUAAAGGGUGCGCAGACGGUUUGUUAAGUCAAUUGUUUAAUUCCUCGGCCUAACCGAGGGUCAGCAGUAGAAACUGAUAAGCUAGAGUAUGAGAGAGGGAAGUGGAAUUCUCGGAGUAGCGGUAAAAUGCGUAGAUCUCGAGAGGAACACCGAUGGCGAAGGCAGCUUCCUGGCUCAUUACUGACGUUCAUGCACGAAAGCGUGGGGAGCAAACAGG
rnacentral:rRNA from 1 species